rnacentral:tRNA from 1 species
ACCCCCGUAGCAAUGGGAAGAGCACCAGGGUUCAUAUCCUGGAGGGUGCAGGUUCGAAUCCCGCCGGGGGAG